AACGUUACAUAUUAAAGUAAGUUUUCUAGCCGUUUUAAUUAAAAUGAUAAAUGCCUCCCAAAUGUUCAACGUAGUGACCGAACACGCAUAUAAUGUCCAAAAUUUGUACCACGUUGAAGAUGGAAAUGAGGAAGAAAAUCAUGAUGAAUACCACAAAUUCUUUGAUCGGGAACUGAUAUACACGAUUAUUUACUGGAUGGUUCUCGCCAUUUGUCUGUGGGGAACCAUUUACGUGAUGCUACUAGCGGCGAACUCCGUUUUCGAUUCCAGCCCCAUCGGGAAAUUAAAUGAUUUACCAAUGCAAAUAAUACUGCCGCCGUCGACUAAAAAGAAUGAUUCGUAUUUUGAUCUUGGUGUAAUAAAGUAUUGUUGGUAUUAA